GCUGGCGACUUCGUUGGAGCGCCGCCGCCUGCCGCCCCCCCCUCCCAGCCCCCCGGCGGCAGCCAUCGGAAUCGACUACGGAGCUGGCGGAGACUACGAUGGAGCUCCUGGCCUCCCUACGGCCAUCAGGUUAGUCGAGGAAGAUAACAUGGCGGACAUUAGGCUUCAUAAUGCGCGUGUGUCUUUGUUGCGUGUCUUGGCCCUUUUACCACCAGACGAGCUCCGGCGCCGACUCCGACACCCAGACAUCCGCCGCCGGUUCCGCCAGCUCCGCGCGAUCCGCCGACUCCGCCAGGGACUGGCCCGCAGGUAAGUUAUCAGGUUAGUGAUACACUUGUCCCUUUAAACUUACACUACACUGUUUAAAGUACUGUUAUUGGUUUGUAUGUGCACUUUAUUUUAUAUUCUACUGUAAAUGUAAUGUUACAAUUCUUGCACUUUGUUGAUUGUUUAAUGUUGUCUAAUGUUGCACCACCCGCCAUGACACAUUCCUUGUGUGUGAAAAUAUAGUUUACAAUAGAUAAAUAGAUGGAUAGACAGACCGAGAGACAAUUGAUAGACAGAUAGAUAGAUAGACGGAUGGAUAGAGCGAUGAACAGAUCCCCCAGUCCCCCAGAAACCAGAAGAGUCUCCCAGGAGCAGCAGGAAGAGGAGGAGCCCGACUGCCCGGCAGGACCGAUAAGGUUCCAGACAGCCUUCCCUCGCGCCUGGCGGGGGAAGGCUGGUUGGCCUGGUUCUACUUUUUUAUUUAGGUAUCGAUUGCUGUGACACGGAAGAGUCUACCGGGAUCUCCUUAACGACGAAGAAGAUGACGAGGGAGGACCACAUGAGAAGGAUGAAGGACUACAGGACCAGAUGAAGAGCGGCGGUUGCCUUUCUUUUCGUGGGCGGAGGCAGGACUCCUCUGUCUCUCUCCCAGCUGGAGGUGGACGUCAACCAACCCGUCACCUUCAGCAGACCACGACACAAGUCAAUCAGGACCCCCCCCCCGCCCGCCCGCCCACCCAGCCCCCCGACACCGCCCGCCCAGGAAGCAGCUGUGAAGAAGACGGACACUUCAGCCUGAACGAGACUUAAUAAUCCUUUCAUUUGUCCCAUGGAAUACUCACUAAUAAAUACAUGUACAACAACAUCUAAA